GGGGAGGUGAUUCGGAUUACUGGGCGUAAGCGCGUGUAGGCGGCCUUGCAAGCCAGACGUGAAAGCCCUCGGCUUAACCGGGGAAGUGCGUCUGGAACUGCUCGGCUCGAGUACGGGAGAGGGAGGCGGAAUUCCCAGUGUAGAGGUGAAAUUCGUAGAUAUUGGGAGGAACACCGGUGGCGAAAGCGGCCUCCUGGACCGAUACUGACGCUGAGACGCGAAAGCGUGGGGAGCAAACAGGAUUAGAUACCCUGGUAGUCCACGCUGUAAACGAUGGGCACUAGGUGUGGGGGGUAUCCACUCCUCCCGUGCCGCAGCUAACGCACUAAGUGCCCCGCCUGGGGAGUACGGCCGCAAGGUUAAAACUCAAAGGAAUUGACGGGGCCCGCACAAGCGGCGGAGCAUGCGGAUUAAUUCGAUGCAACGCGAAGAACCUUACCAAGGCUUGACAUACACCGGAAUCACUCAGAGAUGGGUGCGUCUUCGGACUGGUGUACAGGUGGUGCAUGGUUGUCGUCAGCUCGUGUCGUGAGAUGUUGGGUUAAGUCCCGCAACGAGCGCAACCCUCGUUCCAUGUUGCCAGCAACACUUCGGUGGUUGGGGACUCAUGGGAGACUGCCGGGGUCAACUCGGAGGAAGGUGGGGAUGACGUCAAAUCAUCAUGCCCCUUAUGUCUUGGGCUUCACGCAUGCUACAAUGGCCGGUACAAAGGGCUGCGAUACCGCAAGGUGGAGCGAAUCCCAAAAAACCGGUCUCAGUUCGGAUUGGGGUCUGCAACUCGACCCCAUGAAGUCGGAGUCGCUAGUAAUCGCAGAUCAGCAACGCUGCGGUGAAUACGUUCCCGGGCCUUGUACACACCGCCCGUCAAGUCACGAAAGUCGGUAACACCCGAAGCCGGUGGCCCAACCCUUGUGGGGGGAGCCGUCGAAGUGGGACUGGCGAUUGGGACUAAGUCGUAACAAGGUAACCAGACCUGGUCC
rnacentral:rRNA from 1 species